UGCAGUCGUUAAGAAUAUAAUUUUUAAAAAAGAAAAUUAAUCUCAAGAAGUUUAUUUUGUGAACUCUUGAGCAAAAGAAUACAUUAAAUUUAAAGUAAAUAUAGAAUUUAGCAAUUAAUCCUAUAUUACAAUUUACAUAUUUAUAAAAAAUAUAUCUAACUUAACCUAACCUACUCUAAAAAACCUACUCUAAAAAUUUUGUUUACACAAAAUAACAAAAACAAUUUAUUCUCGAAACAUCUUUUAAUUGGGACAUGGAUGAUGAUAAAAACAGAAUAUAUAAAAUCAAUGAUUAACAAUACGCAACAACUCCUCCCCAUUAAGUCAAACACCCAUUAAAUGUCAAAAAGCUUUGUAGGCUUCCUUAUUCUUGAGGACCUCCUCAAGACAGGCUGCGGAGUCACUGUAGGAGAUUCUAUUACUGGAGCAGCUUGAGUUCCUUCAACUUCAGUCUCAGGUGGCACUUGAGGAGCAUUUUCACCACAGUUCCUCACCUGAUCCAAAUGUCUAUUAAUAACUCUUCCAUCAUCAGUUUCUACUUCAACUGAGACAGGGCCUGUUUUUUCAUAGACCACUCCAGGUAACCAUUUAGGACCAUGGUAAUUCCUAGCUACAAUUUCCUGUCCUUCCUCCACUGCUCUAUGGGGUCUCUAUGUUCUCAUGAAUCUUUCUUCUUGGUUACUUCUCUCCUCAGAGACAUUUUCUGGGUGAAAUUUAUUCAGAAGGCAUUUCAAAUUCUUAAUUCAUCAGAAGUUGAGCUGGAGAUUUUUGAGUUGUGUUGUUUACAGUUAUUCUCAUUGUCAAGAGAGAUCUAGCCAACCUGGUUGACCAUUCACCUUUGUCACUUUUUUUAUUUUUAAAGUUUGUAUGGCUCUCUCUACCUGGCCAUUAGAGGCAGCAUGAUAUGGACAAAUUUCAUCUUUUGUUUUGAGGCUAUUCAAAGAUGGAACACUAAAACUAGUAUUUUUAUGUAAAUAUGUAGGGUUAUUCAUUUUUGUUAAAGCUGGAGUUGAAGCUUGCGAUAUUGAGCCUUGAAACUUUUGAUGAUGCCACUAUCCAGUGGUUGCAGAUUGGCAGUCAUAUUUGGUGGAAGGAAGUGUAUCUUUAUGUUGCUGAGACUAUCAUUAGGGACGCAGUGAGAUGUAGCGUUAUGUAGGAUACGACAUCCUUCAGAGACAAGCUGCUUGUUGAACUGCAGUAGCCAUUCUUGAAAGAUGCUAGAGGUCAUCCAUGCUUUGCUGUUAGAUGUGUAAGUGCAGUAGAAGUGUGGACUAAAGUUUCUGAAGCAUCGAGGCUUUGCCGAUUUUCCAAUAAUCAGCAAUCGCCGCUUGUCUGUUCCGGUAGAGUUGCAGCACAGUAGAACAGGGAUUCGUUGCUUCAUACUUUUGACACCACGGCAGUUUUCAUCUUUGUGAGCAAGUGUUCCGUCAGGAAUGAGCUGAAAAAUAAUCCUGUUUCAUCUGCAUUGUAUAUGUUGGCAGGGUCAUAUCCAGAGUUCGCCAGAAUACUGUUCAAAUUUGUAAGAUGUUCAUCAAUGAUAGCUGGAGAAAUCGAUGCGCCUUCCCCACAGAGCCGUCAUUGUGAAAUAUGGAAUCUCCCUUUAAAUCGCUGCAGCCACCCACUGCUGUAAGCAAAGUUUUCUGGUACGUUCAACUGCUUGCCAAGUUUUUUUGCCUUUUCUCUUAGGAGGUCAUCAGUAAUAAUAAUAUUAUUGGCACGCUUUUGGGUAAACCAGUUGAAGAGAGCGUUUUCCAAGUCACUAAAUUUUUCGACUCUUUGUCUCUUUGAAGAACCAACAGUAUAAUUUUCCCACUUCUCAGCCUGAGUGAGAAUAUCACGGACAGUUGUUCGUGGAAGUGAGAAACGCUUUCCAAUCUCAUUCUUCGACUUCGUAGCGUUAUUUCUUGCCAACUGGCAUAUCUCCUUCUUCUUUUCAAUCGUGAUCGACUCACGUUUACGCUUUUGGGAACUCAUGAUACGACAAUAAGUUGUUGUGUUGACAUUAGCAAAGGAUGAAGCGAUUGUGUAUGUCCCAGACACAAGCAGGAAAAGGGUCUGCUGGCUGUUCACACAAUAUGUUGUGUCAACUGCAGGCAAAGUCCGGCGGCGCUGGCGGAAAAAAUGCAGACAGGAAAAUGGGAGCGGGGGUGUGAGGGACAUUGUGAGUGGCGCUAUAACGAGUGGUUUUGCUACUUGGGAUACGAAAAAUCAGUGGCGGAAGGCGAACGGCGAGGGAGUGUGUUAUAUCGAGAAAAAUCCAUUGAUGUCGAUUGGAACAAAACGAAGGGCAUUCCUUUCUCAGAUGAUUACCCUUUAUACAUUUAAAGCAGACUCUAGCUUCCUUUAUCUUUUGAUCCCUCUCGCUAGGUGUAAGACGCGAAGCAACAAAACAUUUACUACUUAGGUGAUUAUCUCUCUGGCAGAAUAUGCAUUUUCUCUUAAAUGCGCUGCUGAAUAAAUUGGAGACAGUGGGCGGUGUCUUCCGAAAAAUCUUUAGCUGAAAACCUUUGGCCCUCAUUGAGCUAUUACCCUCAAAAUUCUCCUUAGCAAAUGCCAGUCGCUCAGCACCGGUAAGUCCAUCAGAGCCUGUAGUCUACCGCCGGCAUCACUCUUAUCUCCAUUCUCCACUCCUUCUUUUAUCCCAUAGCCCACAGCAGGAUUCCUCUGCCACACCUGAAUAAUGUCCAAUGGCAGACUCAACCAGUGGGUAGAGAAACACGCCUGCCAUCUCUGUGUUAACACCCAGUGAUUCUAGGUUCUUUAAGUGAGCUGUUAGAUCAUCGUAGAUCUCGUCAAGAGGAAUGUUUUCUUUCCUUGCAUUAGAAACAACUUGUUUCAACAGUCUUCUUAUGUAGUGUUCUAUGAGAAGAUUCUUAUCUCCGAAUCUAUCUUUUAGGGCUUGUAUUACCUUGGGAUAAAUAUCUUCAGUGAUAGGGUAACUGCACACAAGACGUUGAGCUCUGGAUCCCUCGACUACCGCUUGUAGCAGAUAGUGAAAUUUAUCUACAUCCCCAAGAGUUUCAUGGUCACUAAUUUUACUAAAUUGCCCCAUUGCAUCGAAAUCUGGCUUUUCUAUUUCAGUCCAAAACACGGUGGACAGCCGAGUUAAAAAUAGCUCUUUUGGGGGCUCUAGCCCUUUUUAAUGUAUUAAUACUCUGUGCAUUAUUUACUGUAUAAUAUUCCCAGGAGCCUUUCUUUUUUUCCCUUUUUUCGAUUUGACCAGCCAAUGCAGCCCACCCGGGGACGCCGAAAUAAAAUGUUAAGAAAGGGGUAAGGAAAAAUUUCGUGGAGAAAAAUAAAAAUUCGGAAUGCUCCACAAAGCCCCUUUUUAACAAAUAAAAACUUUAACCUAAAGUUUUGAUAUUGUUUUGGGCUGCUUAGGGUGUUUAGGCAAGAAAAAAGGAAGACAACAAAUGCUACACAUUAUAAAGCUUUUGUUUAAUUUUUUGAUAGCUCUAAAAUAAAGGAUAAAAAAAGAUAUGAAAACUUAAAAGAAAAUAAGACCUAAUCCAAAUAAUUUAUUAGUGUGUACGUUUCGGCAACAACAUUGUCACCAUCAUCAGACAAAGGAAUAAAUGAGAAAACAUGUUACAGCAAGUUCUUAUAUAGUCCUGUUAUCAAGUGUUUAAACAAGAUAACAGAUAAGGAAAAUAGUUUUUAAGUCAACUUGAAAUAUUCUUCUUAGAAUUAAAAGUGGAUUUUUUGGAUUAGGUCUUAUUUUCUUUUAUUAUAAUCUAUUAUCCAAAUUAUGCUUUAUCAGAUAUGAAAACUUAUUAUUUUGUAUAUUCCAAAUUUUGCAUGCAACUUAAUGUUUAAAAAAUGAUGAUAUUGGCGAAAUAGAAAACUUGGUAAAAAUAAGAAAGAAAAAAUAUUUAAAAAAUGCUAGAAUAACAAAAAAAUAUAUCAAUUUAGGAAAUAAAAAGAAAAAGCGUGUGAAAGAGUGCUCACCAAAACAGUUCCUCUCAGUUGUUAAGUCGGCCUGCCCGAGCCCCCCUGCAGAAAACACCAGCCUUGGAAGCACAAUUCGUCGUCCUCGACGAACUUCCUGGUAUCUUCAGAUGACGCACAAUUCGUCGCCCUCGACGUACUCCAACCACUAUGCGAAUCUCUCAAAGAUUCGUCUCGGCUUCACCUUUCUUUGAGAUGUCAGCCACCAAGUCCCUUCUCAGACCGCUUGUAUGGUCCUUUAUGGAAGAUGGACAAAGUUCCCGGAGGUCAUCUUGGGCAAGCUCCCGUGAGGUUUUUUCUUGUCUACUUGGCACAGCCGUGUCACCAACUCUGCUGCCCCCGCGCCCGGACCUCGUGACCCCUCUGACCCUCCGAUUGGUCGGUGGGUUCUUGGACUGUCCAUCCGGCCGGCGGACAAUUACAUUCUCUCGACAGGGGGUGGGGGCUGGUGUGUGAAAAGGAGAAAAAACAGUAAAAAAAUAGAUUUCCCUCCGCUGAGGGGUUACACACACAAAAAAAAAUAAAAAUAUAAAAAUAGUUGUAAUAUUUACAUAUAUAUGUCGAAUUGGGGUGUCGACUCACUGUGGGAAUGCUGUCGACUCUCUGUUGAAUUGUGUGGUUGGGUGGAUAUGGGAUUGGAUUGGUGAAUGGUGUCGCGCAGUCUUGGUCAGGUGAAAAGGGUUCCACAGGGGAAGAACGAACACACCUGGAUGGGGUAGAAAAGGACCUUGCGAUUGGGAGAAUGUUUGACAGAGGUAGCUGGCCUUUCACAUGAUGGAGCGUACACUACCUUGGUUGGAGCCUAUGUAGAGCACAACUAGCUCGUAGCACUGUCACCUAACUUCUUUCUGUUUCUUGUCCGAGAUAAUCAUCAUUGACUCUCUCGACUUCUCAUUGGUUGAGAUCCUUCCACGUGCUCUCUGGUGAUUCAGUAUCAAUUGGUCAUGCUUAAAGGUGAUUGGCUCAGCACCUCCAUUGUCGCCAUGAUUGCAAUCCUCAAGGAAGAAGAAGGCCUUUGAACUUAGGUUUUAUGGGUUCAGGUCAGUGACCUUUACUUCCUGGAUGAUGCAAUCCUGUACUUUGUGUCUUUCCCAUCUCGCGAGGCCUAACUUUUAUUAAACUUUUAGACGAUACAUUAUACAUAGAUUGUGGUGAGGUUACAUAAUCCUGUAUACAGAUUAUCACAUAUACAUACAAUAUGCCAUGAAUUCAAACAUUGGUGCUACCCGAGUUGGGACUUGCAUCUUGUAUAGGAAUCUUUAUUGGAGCUGCUGCCACAACCUGUGGCGUCUGCUCGCUAGAAGGGCCAUCUUCCACGACCACCAGCUUUGGGCCGCUGCGUCUGCUGCUUCCUCUUGUUGAAUUGAGAGGCGGCAGGGUAGAGAUGGAUGCUGUAAGAAUUAGGUUCUUUGGAUGAUAUUACCUGGUGGACAUCCUCAGCAGCACUCUAUGGUGACACACUUUGCCAAUUUUUUAGUUAAGCUGUUAGUCACCAUUUGAACAUCCUGUUGAAAAGGAAUGGAGAGGUUGCUUGCAGGGGGUGACAUGGUGUCAGAGUAUGUGAUGUGGUUUCCUUACAGUUUGGAGCGGCCAAAACUGUCUCAGUCGGCCUUGCAGGAGAAGUUGGAACAUGGGUUGGGGUAGCCUAGUGCCCCGGCUGUGAGGUCUCUUUCCUGAGUAUUUUUAUUCCUACCUUGUUCUAAUCUUUUGUGUCUGUUUCCACAGCUAUGCACCCAUAGUGGUGUCUGGGGCUUUUGCAGAUCUUUGAAAGUUUGAGGCACUGGCAUUUAUUACGUGGAGGGGGACAAGCCUUGUUACGUGUUGCACAAGGUGAUGCAGCAACCUGGCUGUUAUUACCUGUAGAUGAACAAACUUGUCACGUGAUGCACCAUGCAGUGUAACUGGUGUGCAAACAGAGCCCUGAGUGUGUAGCAGCCUGGUGAUGUCAGGAAUGUCUUUGGGUCACAUUCACUAUGAUAUUGUUGACAUUGUGCACUGACUCAAAUCUCGGGAAUCCCCUUUUGGUAUCUAGUUCGUGUUUCCUUUGGACAAUAUAGGGACUUCCAGUACCACCCUAGGGACUUUCAACCUCCUUGUUCCAUUUCAUCCAGAGAGAUGCGGAAUAUCUUUCACACAUUGGUAUAUAUCAUCAUUUUUGCUUUAUGCAUUUUGUCUUUUUUUUUUAGAUUUUGGGCAGGUGAAAAGGGUUCCACAGGGGAAGAACGAACACACCUGGAUGGGGUUGAAAAGGACCUUGCGAUUGGGAGAUUGUUUGACAGAGGUAGCUGGCCUUUCACAUGAUGGAGCGUACACUACCUAGGUUGGAGCCUAUGUAGAGCACACCUAGCUCAUAUCACGGUCACCUACCUUCUUUCUGUUUCUUGUCCGAGAUAAUUGUCAUCGAUUCUCUCGACUUCUCAUUUGUUGAGAUCCUUCCACGUGCUCUCUGAUGAUUCGCUAUUAAUUUGUCAUGCUUAACCCUUAAG